rnacentral:rRNA from 1 species
CACCCAACAGCUAGCCCACCAGCACAACAACAACCAACCACUAUUUAUACCCCUACAUACACAAUAAAUUAUAAUAAUUAAACCAUUCUUCCCCUUAAGUAUAGGAGAUAGAAAAAGGCAUAUGGAGCCAUAGAGAAAGUACCGCAAGGGAUUGCUGAAAGAGUAAUGAAAUAAUCCAGUAAAGUUUUAAGAAGCAGAGAUAGUACCUCGUACCUUUUGCAUCAUGAUUUAGCUAGUGAACCACAAGCAAAGAGUACUUUAGUUUGAUUCCCCGAAACCAGGGGAGCUACUCCAAGACAGCCUAUAUAUAGGGCGAACCCGUCUCUGUGGCAAAAGAGUGGGACGAGCUUUGAGUAGAGGUGAUAAACCUACCGAACCUGGUAAUAGCUGGUUGCCCGAGAAUUGAAUAGAAGUUCAGCCUCACAGCUUCUACACUCACCAAGGUAUCACUAUAGACUGACACCCUAAGAAACUGUGAUAGUUAGUCAAAGGGGGUACAGCCCCUUUGAAAUAAGACACAACUUUUCUAGGAGGAUAAAGAUCAUAAUCCAAAAGGACCAACAUGUACCUGGGUGGGCCUAAAAGCAGCCAUCCCAUCGGAAAGCGUUACAGCUCAAGUACAUACCAUCUAGCCGUAUAUCCUGAUAAUAAAUUCUUAUUCCCCUACCCACUACCGGGCUAUCCCAUGCGACCAUGGGAGAAAUUAUGCUAGUAUGAGUAAUAAGAGAGUCAGCCUCUCUCCAGGCACACGUGUAAAUCGGAACGAACCCCCGCCGAACAUUAACGGCCCCAGACAAAAGAGGGACCUGAACAACAACUAAAUAACUAGAAAAAAGUUCAUGCAUACAGCCGUUAACCCCACACUGGUGUACCCCCAUGGAAAGACCGAAAGAAAGAGAAGGAACUCGGCAAACAAAUCAAGCCUCGCCUGUUUACCAAAAACAUCGCCUCUUGCAAAGCAAAGAAUAAGAGGUCCCGCCUGCCCUGUGACUAUUAGUUUAACGGCCGCGGUAUUUUGACSGUGCAAAGGUAGCGCAAUCACUUGUCUUUUAAAUGAAGACCUGUAUGAAUGGCAUAACGAGGGCUUAACUGUCUCCUCUUUCUGGUCAAUGAAAUUGAUCUCCCCGUGCAGAAGCGGGGAUAAAUCCAUAAGACGAGAAGACCCUAUGGAGCUUUAGACACCAAGGAAGAUCCUGUCAAACCCAUCAAAAAUGGAAAGAACUAAUGGAUACCUCCUUCCCUAAUGUCUUUGGUUGGGGCGACCGCGGGGGAACAAGAAGCCCCCACGUGGAAUGGGAAAACACCUUUCCUACAGCCCAGAGCCACAGCUCGAGGCAACAGAACUUCUGACCAUCAAGAUCCGGCAAAGCCGAUCAACGGACCGAGUUACCCUAGGGAUAACAGCGCAAUCUCCUUUUAGAGCCCAUAUCGACAAGGAGGUUUACGACCUCGAUGUUGGAUCAGGACAUCCUAAUGGUGCAGCCGCUAUUAAGGGUCCGUUUGUUCAACGGUUAAAGUCCUACGUGAUCUGAGUUCAGACCGGAGUAAUCCAGGUCAGUUUCUAUCUAUGCUAUGCCCUUUUCUAGUACGAAAGGACCGAAAAGAGGAGGCCUCUGCCCUGGGCACGCCUCACCCCGACCUAAUGAAAGCAACUAAAAUAGGCAAAAGGGAGUACCCCCCCCCCCCCACCAAAGAAAAUGGUGCA